UACGUAGGCAGCAAGCGUUGUUCGGAUUUACUGGGCGUAAAGAGUACGUAGGCGGUUUGCUAAGUCUGGUGUGAAAUCUCCUGGCUUAACUGGGAGGGUGCGCUAGAUACUGGCAGGCUUGAGUAUGGGAGAGGAGAGUGGAAUUCCUGGUGUAGCGGUGAAAUGCGUAGAUAUCAGGAGGAACACCUAUGGCGAAGGCAGCUCGCUGGGACGUAACUGACGCUGAGACGCGAAAGCGUGGGGAGCAAACAGG
rnacentral:rRNA from 1 species